ensembl:rRNA 5S_rRNA 5S ribosomal RNA
GAUUGUGCUAUAUUUUUUGAUAAUAAAAGAUAAAAAACGGGCCUGGUUAGUACUUGGAUGGGAGACCGCCUGGGAAUACCUGGUGCUGUAAGCU